UCACCCUGAAGCAGCCGCAGCUUGGCGGACACGCGGCGUCCACAGGCAGGCGUCCGCCCCACCGAGGCUGUCCCUGCUGAUGCCUUCCCCUGGCUCCACACAGCGUCAGACUUAUGGCGCUUCACUUUGGAGCAGGAGUCCACUUGCUGCGGCAGCCGGACGGAAAGCGGAACCCACUUUCUUUUCCGCCGGAAGUUGGAGUACAGCGGGAGUACGUUUCCAGUCGCGCCCUAGUUGUUGGUGCACAUUACUGAAAGGCCCCGCCUCCAGUCCAGACGCGGCCGCUAUGGUAACGCGUCGGGAUUUCUGAGGUUUUGUCAACAGUGAGAGUUGCUGGAAGAGUAUACAAACAAGCUGAGUCUGAACAUGGCUGCACAACUAGUCUUCUUGGCAGAUGGCACGAAAGUCCUCAAACCCGAAAAUAUACCCCACGAAGCCAACAUUUAUGUUGCAACAGGACAGCCCAUUUUAGAUCCAUUCAAAAAAAAAAUUAAAGGUAAAAAAG
rnacentral:lncRNA from 1 species